CGAAGAGAGACACCAGACGGAGAAGAACCAGCCACAGAUAGAGCACAGAGUUGCAACUCAGCUAGCAAGCUCUUUGCUCAGUAGUAGUAGUAGUAGUAGUAGUACUUCCUCAUCGUGUAAUAAAGAGCUACAAUAUUUAGAGCAUUUGUAAGCUCGCGAAGGUAGUUAGAAGGUAAUUUCUUUACCCUUGUGUAAACCCUUCGGGGGUUCCCGAAAGGGAAAACCAU
rnacentral:lncRNA from 1 species